GUCAUGAAGUAAGGAUGGGGGUGGAUAAAAUAAUUUAGGGUUGGGUUCUAAAUUUUUCAGUUAUUUGAAGAAAGGUCUCUUUAGUGUUCAUGAGCUUUUCCCGGCAACUCGUCGGAGCUCUACCGGGAUCUGGCGUGUCCACUACCCAAUGACCCCCCAUUUCGCCUUCCUUCUCCCUUUCCGUUUCCGGCUAGCAACCAUCGCCUCCAAACACCCAUUUUACUCUUCUAUUCGUCUGAAUCACCACCACCAGCCGUUCCCCAACCACCUUUCAAAACCCAUCGCAGAAACAACCAACUCACAACUCAUAACACUACCAACAAAAAACUGACCCGUCAAACCAGACCCAUUCCCACUCGAAGUAGCCACCAGUAACCCCCAUCUCCGACAGACAACAACCACGAAAAUCAGCAGACCCAACACCCCAUUAUUAAACCACCAUUUUUUCUCACAAGAACAGCCACCAAACAACCCAAAACUUGUUUGAAAACAACCAUCAUAUAAGAACCAUAAACAAGUUAUCAGUUAGAUUUCAGCUCCGGCGGAGACAAGCUAUGAGCUUUGAAAUCAGCGACAACAACCUCUGUGUCCGUCAAGGUCUGGUUAUCUUUUGAUCGAAGAAUGAAUGGGCUUUGGACUUAAAAUCACCCGCUUUUAGAAGUCUGGAAGGCGGCACUAAACUAGUCGGGCUUGCUUGAAUCGAUAGGCUUACCAGACUUCUCUGUCUAUUCAAUUGAUUUUGUUGCAGACUCUUUCCCACGCCUAUUUCUUGCCCCGGCCCUGUAGUGGAGCUUGCCCCCCGCCCUAGGCUUAUUGAGAUCUUUCCCUGUGCGGGUAAAUUUGGGCUCAGGAGGGGAAUACCCGGUUCAUCGAAACUUCAACCAGAAGAGGUAGGCUCAGGUUCCUGGUAUAGGUAGGAUAAAAUCUCUACUUCUGUUUUGGAGGCAUUUCCAUUUUAAAAGAUGGAAAUUUAGUUUAAAUUUAUAUAUUUGUAGUUCAAUAUUAGAUGAAGAAAUUACUGUCUAUUUCCUAGGCCUCCCAUGUUAAUAAGACGGAUUUUUAAUUUUUAAGUUAUUAUUUGAGUUAUUCAUUUUUACUCAUAUUUAUUUAGCACUAACACUUUUAUUAAGUGUCUUUAUAUGUAAACGGAGUUGCUUUCCAUUGGAGCUACUUGAAUAAAGUUCGAAUCAUAUUGUUUA